UUAAUUGAAGAGUUUGAUCAUGGCUCAGAUUGAACGCUGGCGGCAGGCUUAACACAUGCAAGUCGAGCGGCAGCACAGAGGAACUUGUUCCUUGGGUGGCGAGCGGCGGACGGGUGAGUAAUGCCUGGGAAAUUGCCCGGUAG
rnacentral:rRNA from 1 species